rnacentral:rRNA from 1 species
GACGAACGCUGGCGGCGUGCCUAAUACAUGCAAGUAGAACGCUGAAGGAGGAGCUUGCUCUUCUGGAUGAGCUGCGAACGGGUGAGUAACGCGUAGGUAACCUGCCUGGUAGCGGGGGAUAACUAUUGGAAACGAUAGCUAAUACCGCAUAACAGUAGAUGUUGCAUGACAUUUACUUAAAAGGUGCAAUUGCAUCACUACCAGAUGGACCUGCGUUGUAUUAGCUAGUUGGUGGGGUAACGGCUCACCAAGGCGACGAUACAUAGCCGACCUGAGAGGGUGAUCGGCCACACUGGGACUGAGACACGGCCCAGACUCCUACGGGAGGCAGCAGUAGGGAAUCUUCGGCAAUGGACGGAAGUCUGACCGAGCAACGCCGCGUGAGUGAAGAAGGUUUUCGGAUCGUAAAGCUCUGUUGUAAGAGAAGAACGAGUGUGAGAGUGGAAAGUUCACACUGUGACGGUAUCUUACCAGAAAGAGACGGCUAACUACGUG